rnacentral:rRNA from 1 species
CACGUAGGGUGCGAGCGUUGUCCGGAAUUAUUGGGCGUAAAGAGCUCGUAGGCGGUUUGUCGCGUCUGCUGUGAAAACCUAAGGCUCAACCUUGGGCUUGCAGUGGGUACGGGCAGACUAGAGUGCGGUAGGGGAGACUGGAAUUCCUGGUGUAGCGGUGAAAUGCUUAGAUAUGACACAGAACACCGAUUGCGAAAGGCAGCUAGCUAACCG